CGAACGGUAACAGGAAACAGCUUGCUGUUUCGCUGACGAGUGGCGGACGGGUGAGUAAUGUCUGGGAAACUGCCUGAUGGAGGGGGAUAACUACUGGAAACGGUAGCUAAUACCGCAUAACGUCGCAAGACCAAAGAGGGGGACCUUCGGGCCUCUUGCCAUCGGAUGUGCCCAGAUGGGAUUAGCUAGUAGGUGGGGUAACGGCUCACCUAGGCGACGAUCCCUAGCUGGUCUGAGAGGAUGACCAGCCACACUGGAACUGAGACACGGUCCAGACUCCUACGGGAGGCAGCAGUGGGGAAUAUUGCACAAUGGGCGCAAGCCUGAUGCAGCCAUGCCGCGUGUAUGAAGAAGGCCUUCGGGUUGUAAAGUACUUUCAGCGGGGAGGAAGGGAGUAAAGUUAAUACCUUUGCUCAUUGACGUUACCCGCAGAAGAAGCACCGGCUAACUCCGUGCCAGCAGCCGCGGUAAUACGGAGGGUGCAAGCGUUAAUCGGAAUUACUGGGCGUAAAGCGCACGCAGGCGGUUUGUUAAGUCAGAUGUGAAAUCCCCGGGCUCAACCUGGGAACUGCAUCUGAUACUGGCAAGCUUGAGUCUCGUAGAGGGGGGUAGAAUUCCAGGUGUAGCGGUGAAAUGCGUAGAGAUCUGGAGGAAUACCGGUGGCGAAGGCGGCCCCCUGGACGAAGACUGACGCUCAGGUGCGAAAGCGUGGGGAGCAAACAGG
rnacentral:rRNA from 1 species